UCCUUUCUUUGCUUACUUUUUCUGCUCUCUUAGAAAACAAGUGAAAGUACAAACCUCUCUCUCUAUACCAACACUUCUUCGACUUGUUCUUUCUUUUCUUCUUCUUCUUCGUCGCAAGAGAAAUUUCAGUUCUUGAAAUUUGCAUUCCAGCACAGAAGAAACAAAGAAAGGUAUAUGAUUGUACAUUAUGCAUCAUUGGUGCUGAAAAGUGUCCCCACUAGUGGGAUUUCACUGGGUCGUUGUUGUCGUUGUUGUUGGUGUUGAAAAGUGUAAACGCGAGUAAGUCUAUUGGAUGCAAUGUUGAAAAGAGUAACGUCGUGGUUGUUGAUUUUGUCGUUCCUUGUUUCCUUAUCGAUUGCUAAUGGGAGCGUUAUUGAGUGUAAUUGUGAAGAUGACGAUGAGGUAUUUUGGAGUGUCGAGAGAAUUUUAUUUUUCCAAAGACUCGGUGAUUUGUUUAUUGCAGUAGCCUAUUUUUCCAUUCCGAUUGAGAUAGUUUACUUUGUCAGCUGUUCUAACUUUCCGUUUAAAUGGGUGCUCUUUCAAUUCGGAGCAUUCAUUAUACUCUGUGGAUUAACUCAUUUCCUUAGUUUCUUGACUUAUUUUGGCCAAUACACAUUUCACCUUGUUCUUGCCCUUCUUGUUUCCAAACUCCUCACCGCAGUCGUCUCUAUGCUCACUGCUAUAACCCUUAUCACCCUCAUCCCUUUGUUGCUCAAAGUCAAGGUAAGGGAAUUUAUGCUGAAAAAGAAGACUCGGGAUCUUGGUCGAGAAGUUGGAAUAAUAAAGAGGCAAAAGGAAGCUGGAAUGCAUGUUCGGAUGCUUACACAAGAGAUCCGGAAAUCACUUGAUCGUCAUACAAUACUAUACACAACUUUGGUUGAGUUAUCGAAGAUAUUGGAUUUGCAGAAUUGUGCUAUUUGGAUGCCUAAUGAGAACAGAACUGAGAUGAAUCUGAUGAAUCUGAGUCAUGAGCUUAGAGGGAGGAAUAUUUCCAGUAUGUAUAAUAAGCCUAUCCCAACGAGUGAUCGAGAUGUAAAAGAGAUCAAGGGGAGUGAUGUUGUAAAGAUACUUGACCCGGGCUCCCCACUUGCUGCAAGUAGUGGAGGAAGUUGUGAGCCAGGAACUGUGGCAGCGAUUAGGAUGCCAAUGCUGAAGGUCUCGAAUUUCAAAGGUGGAACGACAGAGAUUGUCCCGCAAUGUUAUGCAAUUCUCAUUUUGGUUCUUCCUAGCGGAAAGGAUAGGUCUUGGAGUAAUCAGGAAAUUGAGAUAGUCAGGGCUGCAGCCGAUCAGGUUGCUGUGGCUCUAUCCCAUGCUGCAGUGCUAGAAGAAUCUCAGCAUAUGAGAGACAGAUUGAUGGAACAGAAUCGUGCGCUACAGCAAGCAAGAGAGGAUGCUCUUAGGGCAAGUCAAGCAAGGAAUGCAUUUCAAACGGUUAUGAGCCAUAGGUUGAGAAGACCGAUGCACUCAAUUUCAGGUCUUCUCUCCGUCUUGCAGGAAGAGAAGUUAAGUACUGAUCAACAGCUUCUUGUGGAUGCUAUGAUUAAGACCGGCAACGUCGUGUCCACACUAAUGGAUGAUGUGAUGGAUACUUCAACAAAGGACAAUGUAAGAUUCCCAUUGGAGAUGCGGCAUUUUCAGCUGCAUUCCAUGAUAAGAGAAGCCGCUUGUCUUGCCAAGUGUUUGUGUACAUAUAUAGGUUAUAAUAUUGGCAUUGAAGUUGACAAAUCGUUGCCUAAUCAUGUUAUGGGUGAUGAAAGAAGAGUGUUUCAAGUUAUACUUCAUAUGGUUGGAACUAUUUUGAAGGGAAAAAAUGGAGGGCAUCUUAUCUUCAGAGUUCUACCAGCAAGUGAAAAUGAUGUAAGUUGGAAAACAAGGAGAUCAAACUCAUCUACUGACAACGUCUAUAUCAGGUUCGAAAUUUUCGCUAGCAUUAAUCGAUCUAAGGCAGAGGGCGUAACAUCCACAUUACCACACUGCACUCGAAUGUACUGCAACAACGAGGUUGAGGAGAGUUUGAGCUUUGCCGUUUGCAGGAGGUUGGUUCAUUUGAUGCAAGGAGACAUCUGUGUAGUCCUAAAUCCAGAAGGUUUUGAUCAAUGCAUGGCUGUUAUUGUUGGGUUUCGAAGGCAGCCAUCAAUUCCUAUAAGCAUACCUGAAUAUGGGGAAUCCUCUGAUCCUUCACAUACACGUUCUCUUCUCCACGGUGUCAAAGUUCUAUUAGCUGACUAUGAUGACGUGAAUAGAAGCGUAACGAGGAAGAUGCUCGAGAAAUUGGGAUGCAACGUUGCUGUUGUUUCAUCUGGAUAUGAAUGCCUCAGUGCUAUCGGCCCUGCUGUUUCCUCAUUCCAAAUUAUACUUUUGGAUCUUCACUUAGCUGAUGUAGAUGGCUUUGAAGUUACCAUGAGGAUACGAAAGCAUCGUAGUAGGAGCUGGCCUUUGAUCAUUGGUUUAGCCGCAACUGCUGAUGAAGAUGUAAGUGGAAGAUGCCUGCAGAUCGGAAUGAAUGGAACUAUCCGUAAACCAGUGCUCUUACCAGGACUUGCCGAUGAGCUUCAGAGGGUCCUGCUGCGGGCAAGCAGAGUAAUGUCCUGACAGUACCGCUGCCUUGCAAUGGACGAUAAUUAGGCAGGGAAUCGUUUGAGGUACAAUGCUAGAUGAUGUACAAAUAGAAAAGCAUACUGAUGUUACAUACACACCUUGUAUAUUUUCUUCAGACCAAAUCAACCAAUUUUCAACUCACCAUCACCAACGGCACGUGCAUUGCAUGUGCUCCCAUUCCUCAGUUUACAUAAUUGUAUCUGUACAUGUGACCAUUGUGUGUGUUGAGGAUAAGGCGAAUCCAAGAUUUAAAGU